rnacentral:rRNA from 1 species
GACGAACGCUGGCGGCGUGCUUAACACAUGCAAGUCGAACGGAAAGGCCCUGCUUUUGUGGGGUGCUCGAGUGGCGAACGGGUGAGUAACACGUGAGUAACCUGCCCUUGACUUUGGGAUAACUUCAGGAAACUGGGGCUAAUACCGGAUAGGAGCUCCUGCUGCAUGGUGGGGGUUGGAAAGUUUCGGCGGUUGGGGAUGGACUCGCGGCUUAUCAGCUUGUUGGUGGGGUAGUGGCUUACCAAGGCUUUGACGGGUAGCCGGCCUGAGAGGGUGACCGGCCACAUUGGGACUGAGAUACGGCCCAGACUCCUACGGGAGGCAGCAGUGGGGAAUAUUGCACAAUGGGCGGAAGCCUAAUGCAGCAACGCCGCGUGCGGGAUGACGGCCUUCGGGUUGUAAACCGCUUUCGCCUGUUACGAAGCGUGAGUGACGGUAAUGGGUAAAGAAGCACCGGCUAACUACGUG